GUGGGGAAUAUUGGACAAUGGGCGAAAGCCUGAUCCAGCAAUGCCGCGUGAGUGAUGAAGGCCUUAGGGUUGUAAAGCUCUUUUACCAGGGAUGAUAAUGACAGUACCUGGAGAAUAAGCUCCGGCUAACUCCGUGCCAGCAGCCGCGGUAAUACGGAGGGAGCUAGCGUUGUUCGGAAUUACUGGGCGUAAAGCGCGCGUAGGCGGUUUAUCAAGUCAGGGGUGAAAUCCCGGGGCUCAACCCCGGAACUGCCCUUGAAACUGGUUCACUAGAAUCCUGGAGAGGCGAGUGGAAUUCCGAGUGUAGAGGUGAAAUUCGUAGAUAUUCGGAAGAACACCAGUGGCGAAGGCGACUCGCUGGACAGGUAUUGACGCUGAGGUGCGAAAGCGUGGGGAGCAAACAGGAUUAGAUACCCGUGUAGUCC
rnacentral:rRNA from 1 species